CUUGCAGGCUUAACUCCUGGCUGCAAAACCAGUGGGUUGGGACCCUCGGCUGUUUGUACUGAGCUGUGGAGCCAGAAGGGCAGCCAGGGGGCAGGGCCGCAAGCAAACCGAAGGCUCACCUGAGCACCUGCCUCCUUUUAUUAGUAAAAGGAAAGAGGCCGCACAUAGUGGGGCCACCUGGGCGGAGAGAAGCCAGGCCAAGGCAGGUCUGGGCCCAGCCAACAGAGGGCGGAGCAGAGCCAGGUACAGAACGUUCCCCGCUCCCCACUGGCCCCGAAUCCUCAGGACUGGACACGGCCCCUGGUCUGCUCAAGGUCUGGACACAGUGCCUGACUUGAUGCGACCAUCAGCAACUUCCUGGACCGCUUUCCCCACCUGUGACCCAGAGAGAGUAGUAGUCCGUGUUACUAGAAAUGAUUCCUGACUCUGUGUCCCCUUGGGAGUUCAACUGAAACCUAGAUUCCAGGGCUUUGCCUAAGACCCUUCUCCAUGGGGCCCAGGAGAGCAUUUUCCAGGCUGGGCUCCCAGGACAGAGCUGUCCCAAGAGAUGCAGCCACCCCCACCGCCGCUUCAGCUCUGCUCCACCCUCGCCCCGCCCCGGGGCCCCAGGUGGACACAUGGACUCGGGUGCAGAGUCCUGUCCCUGGGGCCUCAGUUCCUGCCCUGGAAUGGCUGGCAGGAUGUGCACUCUGGCAGAAACAACACGAACCACACCCCAGCUCUUCAGGUUGCAGGACUGACUGAGCUGCCAGCAGGAUGGACUGAGCCGUAACCAGGCCCCACCCUCUCCACCUUGCUCCCACACUCCCGCCACACUUCUAAUCCUUCCCAGAUACUUUGCCUGAGCCUCCGCACGUGGUCUUCCUCAGGCCACACCUGGCACUCCCUUCACCUGCAUCUUCCUACGUGGCUUCCACGCAGGAAGCAUCUCGUCUGGAACCCAAGGACACCUUCUCACUGAGCCCCUUCUGAGCUUCCACUGCACUCUCCCCCUGGGUUCUGCCCUAUAGUCACGUGUGUCAGAGUUGCCUGUUUCCUGGUUAGCUCAGUUGACUAGAGCGUGGUGCAAUUAAUGCCAAGGUCGUGGGUUCAAUUCCUGUACAGUCCACAGAGGCGACUCACAUUUUGGGUUUCCCUGAUGGCCCAUACAGUGAAGAAUCCACCUGCAACGCAGAAGACCUGGGUUUGAUUCCUGCGUCAGGAAGAUCCCCUGAAGAAGGGAAUGGUGACCCACUCCAGUAUUCUUGCCUGGAGAAUUUCAUGGACAGAGAAGCUUGGCAAGCUACACCAUCCGUGGGGUCAAAAAGAGUUGUACACGACUGAACACACACUUCCCUUCCCCCAUCAAAGGCCAGGGCACUCCUCAGGCCUGUGUGGUUAGACUACAGGAGCCAACGGGUCUACACAAUAAUGUAGCUGAGCUCAGUGAAAACCCACAGGUACUAGGGUUGAUGCUGGUAGGUGUGACCAGCUCUCAUGGACUGGUCCUGCCCAGAUGGAUGGUUAGGAAGCACCUCGGCAGCCCUGAGAACAAACCUGUAGGAAUACAGGCCAGCAGAGGCAAGGUGUCUGAAGGGAACCUAAGCCCAGCUA
ensembl:lncRNA